UGGGGAAUAUUGGACAAUGGGGGGAACCCUGAUCCAGCCAUGCCGCGUGUGUGAAGAAGGCCUUAUGGUUGUAAAGCACUUUAAGCGAGGAGGAGGGUACUGGUAUUAAUACUACCAGGUACUGGACGUUACUCGCAGAAUAAGCACUGGCUAACUCUGUGCCAGCAGCCGCGGUAAUACAGAGGGUGCGAGCGUUAAUCGGAUUUACUGGGCGUAAAGCGUGCGUAGGCGGCUAAUUGAGUCGGAUGUGAAAUCCCCGAGCUUAACUUGGGAAUUGCAUUCGAUACUGGUUAGCUAGAGUGUGGGAGAGGAUGGUAGAAUUCCAGGUGUAGCGGUGAAAUGCGUAGAGAUCUGGAGGAAUACCGAUGGCGAAGGCAGCCAUCUGGCCUAACACUGACGCUGAGGUACGAAAGCAUGGGGAGCAAACAGG
rnacentral:rRNA from 1 species